GACCUUUUGUAGUUCAUAAGCAUUAUGAUUGGGUGUCCAGGAUGUUGUGUGACACGUGACUCCCUCAAACCUUAUUACAAAUUGGGCACAUUACCUGUUAUGUAA
ensembl:snoRNA